CAAAAAGUAGCUUACAUAAAAGCAUUCGACUUACACUCGAACGACAUUAUUACAAUAAUCUUUUUGA
rnacentral:tRNA from 1 species